GAGGUUAAUGCUUUCUAUUCUCCUCUGUAGUCUUUUACUCUCUUGGUGUACUGUAUUCCAUUCUUUUUGGUUAAAAGAUUGUCGUGCAGUUAGAGAACGCAUCCAUCUCUCUCUCUCUCUCUUUCUCCCCCCCUCUCUCUAUUCUCUCAGAUUUCAUUGUGGGUUCUGCAGAUUGAUUACUGUUUGAACUAGGGAGAGAUUGAUAAUAGGGAUGUUUAAUUUAUGCAAUGACACCUAUUAGGAGAACAUUGUUUAAUUUAUGCAAUGACACCUAUUAGGAGAGCAUUCAUUCAUAAAGAAACUUUGUGUAAUUAAUUAGCACAUUACUCUGGAUUAUAACUCGGACAAUAAUCUUCUUUAUGGUUAAAUCAUAACUGGGUAUUUUUUAUACUUAUUUUGUUUCUGAGCCAAAAAAAUAAUAAUGAUAAUAAUAAACUAAAAAAAUCAAAACUUUUUUUUUCCUUCUAUUUGGCAAAACCAGAGCGAGUUAUACUUUUUAUCUUUAACAGACUAUCAAUUGAAUCUCAUGCUAUACAUCCAUUUCCAGG
rnacentral:lncRNA from 1 species